rnacentral:tRNA from 1 species
AGAGGAUUGGCUGAGCGGCGAAAGCAACAGUCUUGAAAACUGUAAGAUGUUAACAGCUUCUCAAGGGUUCGAGUCCAUUAUCCUCUACCA